AUUGGAAAUGGCUGUUUUGAGCUUAUCACUAAAAUUGUCCAGUCAAAGGGGAUAAGCAUUUACAUAGAAAAUCUGUAUGUCACCCGGACUUGGCUUGCACCCUAUGGCUGUGAUCCAUUGCAGUCCUUUCCUACUGAUGCUCAGAGGAUGCACAUCAUAGUUCUCCCUCUCUGGACACCUGGUCAUUUCCAGUU